CCUACGGGGGGCAGCAGUGGGGGAUAUUGCACAAUGGGGGGAACCCUGAUGCAGCGACGCCGCGUGGGUGAAGAAGCGCCUCGGCGCGUAAAGCCCUGUCAGCAGGGAAGAAAAUGACGGUACCUGAAGACGAAGCCCCGGCUAACUACGUGCCAGCAGCCGCGGUAAUACGUAGGGGGCAAGCGUUAUCCGGAUUUACUGGGUGUAAAGGGGGCGGAGACGGCGGUGCAAGCCAGGAGUGAAAGCCCGGGGGCCAACCCCGGGACUGCUCUUGGAACUGCGUGGCUGGAGUGCAGGAGGGGCAGGCGGAAUUCCUGGUGUAGCGGUGAAAUGCGUAGAUAUCAGGAGGAACACCGGUGGCGAAGGCGGCCUGCUGGACUGCAACUGACGUUGAGGCCCGAAAGCGUGGGGAGCAAACAGGAUUAGAUACCCCUGUAGUC
rnacentral:rRNA from 1 species